UGCUGCAGCUGCUGUGCCCUCGGCCUACACGUGCGUAGGGAAGGACUUAGCUGUGAUGCACACCGGCACCUACCAUACCCCUGUGGACACGUCUUCCUUGCCUGCUGUGAAGAAAAAGAAGCUGUAAGCCAGUUACCUCUGAGGAGGAGGCAGAAGCCCAAAUCGACCGCUAUGCCCACAAAAGUUUCAGACAGCAAG